UUAUCAUAAAGAAACCUUCAUUCUUUUAAUAUUGCUAUGCUAGGAAAGCGAGAUUGGAGAUUCAUAUCCAACCAAGAUACUAUGAUUUUUAAAGUCUUCAAAGCAAAAUAUUUUCCUAAAGAGGAUUUUUUGGAUGCUAAUCUUGGGAAAAUUCCCGUUAUGUUUGGCGUAGUAUUUAUGUUUCACGGGUUGUUAUGAGACAAUGAAGUGGAGAAUUUGAAAUGGGCGGACUAUAAACAUUUGGAGAAUUUGAAGUGGAGGACAAAACUCCUAUUUCCACUACACCACUAUUUGGUAUAGAGCAUCUCAAGAUAGUAACAUAAUUGAUCCUUCUUCUCAUACAUGGAAUCUGAACCUUGUCACCACUAUCUUCAACCAAGAAGAUAUUGAUUCUAUCAAAGCUAAACCAUUGCUGAAUCCGCAUGAUAAUGACACGUUGUUUUGGAAAUUCACUCCCAAUGGCACUUACAAUGUUUGUUCUGCAUAUCAUUGUCUUAUGGAUACCAUCCUAGAAAAUGAUCAUUUAAAAGUUAAUGGGAGCUGGAUGAAAAUUUGGAAGCUAGGGGUUCCACCGAAAGUGAGACAUUUUCUUUGGAGAGCACUUAGAGGAUGCUUACCUACAAGGCAAAGGCUUAUUUUGAAAGGAGUUCAAUGUCCCUACGAUUGUUGCCACUGUUCGAACCACUUGGAGAAUGAAUGGCAUAUUUUUGUUGCGUGUGACAAAGCCCAAGAAUUCUGGCAAUGUGCAAAUUUGUUCAACAAAACUCAUCCAUUAAUGCUUUCCUCAGAAGGUUUUUGUGAACUGAUCUUCAACCUCUUGGAGACUCAAACAGAAGCACAUAACAUGGAGCCUAGACCAGAUGUGGCAUCCAAACUAGCUAAUGGAAAUCAAUGAGAACUUAAUAGCAACCUCCUAGUCUCCUCCCCCACACAACUAUGCCAAGUGUAAUCUCGACGCAGUGAUAUUCACGGGACAAACCUCCUUUGGAGUAGGUAUGUGCCUUCGUGAUGACAAUGGCUCUUUCAUGACAUCCCUAGGCUUGCAGUAGCUGAAGCAGUGGCCCUCUAAAAGAGCAUUGAGUGGAUUCAAUCACUGCACCUUAGCCAUGUGAUCUUCGAAAUUGAUUCUAAUUAAGAUGAUAAAGGACCA
rnacentral:lncRNA from 1 species